rnacentral:rRNA from 1 species
UGAAAAGUCUGUUACACCCUGAACAUCCUGAUCUCAUCCGAUCUCAGAAGCUAAGCAGGGUCAGGCCUGGUUAGUAUUCAAAUGGAAGAAAUGAAAAGUCUAUAAAAUCAAUUAUCUGCUGGGCCCUGGUGGCUCAC